rnacentral:rRNA from 1 species
GUGAGGAAUAUUGCGCAAUGGAGGCAACUCUGACGCAGCCAUGCCGCGUGCAGGAAGAAGGCGCUACGCGUUGUAAACUGCUUUUAACCGGGAAGAAACCCCAGGACGUGUCCUGGGUUGACGGUACCGGAGGAAUAAGCACCGGCUAACUUCGUGCCAGCAGCCGCGGUAAUACGAAGGGUGCAAGCGUUAUCCGGAUUCAUUGGGUUUAAAGGGUGCGUAGGCGGAGCGUUAAGUCAGUGGUGAAAUCCUGCAGCUUAACUGUAGACUUGCCAUUGAUACUGGCGCUCUUGAGUGCGCUUGAAGUGGGCGGAAUGUGCCGUGUAGCGGUGAAAUGCUUAGAUAUGGCACAGAACACCAAUUGCGAAGGCAGCUCACUAAGGCGAUACUGACGCUGAGGCACGAAAGCGUGGGGAUCGAACAGGAUUAGAAACCCCGGUAAUCC